UGAGGAACAUGACCUUGGCGGGGGAGUAGCCGGCCCAACGGCCGGGUAAUACCGCGUACGUCGGCGGAAGCGCAUGCUCCUGCCGGGAAAGCAGCAAUGCACCGAUGGAGGAUCUCGCGGCCUAUCAGCUAGUUGGUGAGGUAACGGCUCACCAAGGCGACGACGGGUAGCUGGUCUGAGAGGAUGGCCAGCCACAUUGGGACUGAGACACCGGCCCAGACCUGUACCGGGGAGG
rnacentral:rRNA from 1 species